rnacentral:rRNA from 1 species
AUUGAACGCUGGCGGCAGGCCUAACACAUGCAAGUCGAGCGGAUGAAGGGAGCUUGCUCCUGGAUUCAGCGGCGGACGGGUGAGUAAUGCCUAGGAAUCUGCCUGGUAGCGGGGGAUAACGUCCGGAAACGGGCGCUAAUACCGCAUACGCCCUGAGGGCGAACGUGGGGGAUCUUCGGACCUCACGCUCUCAGAUGAGCCUAGGUCGGAUUAGCUAGUUGGUGGGGUAAAGGCCUACCAAGGCGACGAUCCGUAACUGGUCUGAGAGGAUGAUCAGUCACACUGGAACUGAGACACGGUCCAGACUCCUACGGGAGGCAGCAGUGGGGAAUAUUGGACAAUGGGCGAAAGCCUGAUCCAGCCAUGCCGCGUGUGUGAAGAAGGUCUUCGGAUUGUAAAGCACUUUAAGUUGGGAGGAAGGGCAGUAAGUUAAUACCUUGCUGUUUUGACGUUACCAACAGAAUAAGCACCGGCUAACUUCGUG